rnacentral:rRNA from 1 species
GACGAACGCUGGCGGCGUGCUUAACACAUGCAAGUCGAGCGGUAAGGCCUCUUCGGGGGUACACGAGCGGCGAACGGGUGAGUAACACGUGAGUAAUCUGCCCUUCACUUCGGGAUAAGCUUCGGAAACGGGGUCUAAUACCGGAUACGACACUUUCAGGCAUCUGAUGAGUGUGGAAAGUUUUUUCGGUGGGGGAUGUGCUCGCGGCCUAUCAGCUUGUUGGUGGGGUAAUGGCCUACCAAGGCUUCGACGGGUAGCCGGCCUGAGAGGGUGACCGGCCACACUGGGACUGAGACACGGCCCAGACUCCUACGGGAGGCAGCAGUGGGGAAUAUUGGACAAUGGGCGGAAGCCUGAUCCAGCAACGCCGCGUGAGGGAUGACGGCCUUCGGGUUGUAAACCUCUUUCAGUACCGACGAAGCGAGAGUGACGGUAGGUACAGAAGAAGCACCGGCCAACUACGUGCCAGCAGCCGCCGUAAAAC